rnacentral:rRNA from 1 species
CAGCAGCCGCGGUAAUACGGRGGGUGCAAGCGUUGUUCGGAAUUAUUGGGCGUAAAGCGCGUGUAGGCGGUUUGUUAAGUCUGAUGUGAAAGCCCUGGGCUCAACCYRGGAAGUGCAUUGGAAACUGGCGGACUUGAAUACGGGAGAGGGUAGUGGAAUUCCGAGUGUAGGAGUGAAAUCCGUAGAUAUUCGGAGGAACACCGGUGGCGAAGGCGGCUACCUGGACCGAUAUUGACGCUGAGACGCGAAAGCGUGGGUAGCAAACAGGAUUAGAUACCCUGGUAGUCCACGCCGUAAACGAUGAGUACUAGGUGUUGCGGGUAUUGACCCCUGCAGUGCCGCAGCUAACGCAUUAAGUACUCCGCCUGGGAAGUACGGUCGCAAGACUAAAACUCAAAGGAAUUGAC